rnacentral:rRNA from 1 species
GGCUCACCAAGGCGACGAUGCGUAGCCGACCUGAGAGGGUGAUCGGCCACACUGGGACUGAGACACGGCCCAGACUCCUACGGGAGGCAGCAGUAGGGAAUCUUCCGCAAUGGACGAAAGUCUGACGGAGCAACGCCGCGUGAGUGAUGAAGGUUUUCGGAUUGUAAAACUCUGUUGUUAGGGAAGAACAAGUACAAUAGUAACUGAUUGUACCUUGACGGUACCUAACCAGAAAGCCCCGGCUAACUACGUGCCAGCAGCCGCGGUAAUACGUAGGGGGCAAGCGUUGUCCGGAAUUAUUGGGCGUAAAGCGCGCGCAGGCGGUCCUUUAAGUCUGAUGUGAAAGCCCACGGCUUAACCGUGGAGGGUCAUUGGAAACUGGAGGACUUGAGUGCAGAAGAGGAGAGUGGAAUUCCACGUGUAGCGGUGAAAUGCGUAGAGAUGUGGAGGAACACCAGUGGCGAAGGCGACUCUCUGGUCUGUAACUGACGCUGAGGCGCGAAAGCGUGGGGAGCGAACAGGAUUAGAUACCCUGGUAGUCCACGCCGUAAACGAUGAGUGCUAGGUGUUAGGGGGUUUCCGCCCCUUAGUGCUGAAGUUAACGCAUUAAGCACUCCG